rnacentral:lncRNA from 1 species
CUUAAAAAUGUUUAAAAUACUAAUUUUAUGUGUAUUUUGCCACAAUAAAAAAACCACAGUUACAAAAAAGGAAAAGAAAUAACCCAGCCUGAAUGAAAGUAGGCAAGAGGCAAAAAGACCCUCAAUUCAGAGUUUAACUCAACAGAAAGUGCUGAUCAAUUUGUUAGUGGAUAAGGAUAAAAGCUCAGAGUUUUAGAGUUUUAAGAAAUAAAAUAUGAAUCUAAGGUUUUCGAUCUGUAAUUUUACGUUCAUCUUUCUUCUAGGAUUUAAUCAAAAGUCUUUUCAACUUUUGGCCCGAUGAUUCUAUGCUAAUUUGCACUUUCAACUUAACAUUCAUAUGGUCAUUUUGUCCCAGGCAGAAUUAAAGAUUCAAGAUGUACCUACUUCUUCCGGGGACAACAUUCAUGAUUCUUAAAGAUUUCACAAGUGUACCUUCUAAGGGUAAGUGGCUGGAAGUAGUAAGAGGUCAAUGCCAAGUGAAAUCCUCUGGCGUUUUCUUCUGACAACCAGGAGUCUGCAAAGUGAGUUUGCUGGGAGCGUCCAGUUUUUUCAGCUUAACGUUAGGUGUACUUUCUGUCUUCGGCACAAAUUGUUUCCAAAUGCCUGUGGGUUGCAAUAUGAUUUUCCCAUCUUGAAAAUCUAUUAAAAAGGAAGAGAUUCUUCACUUCUCCCCACCCCACCUCCAGGCACUGCAGAUGGCGAUUAACACCCUACACAGCCCCUCCCCAUAGCAUCAUCGAUUUUCUGCCUGCAUUGCAUCUACUUCACAGUUCGAGACAUGCCAAAUCACACACGUUCUAAGUACUUGUUGCUAGCAACAAAUCUCUGUUCCUCAGUGGCCAAGCAGACUAUAUUUGGAAUGUCAGAGCACCUAGCCCUUCCCUGGCCCACUUCCUUUAGCUCAGAAGUCUCCAAGCCUGAAAGUAACCUCACCCGUGUUUCCUUGAGUUCUGCUUGUUGAAGCAACUCUUUGGAUUAACUCCGCAAAACACAAAGUGACAGCAAAACAGAGAAACAAUCAGAUUCUUUUCCAUGAACUCCUUUCUUUUCUAUAAAAGUGUUAUUAAUCCCUAUCUUAUGGGACAAUUGUGAAUGUAUUUAAUGAGCUCAUCAAAAUAUACAUACACAUACAUAUAUAUAUAGAGGGGGGGGGUUGGGGGGAGAGAGAGAGAGAGAAAGAGAGAGAGUCUCACUCUGUGGCCCAGGCUGGAGUGCAGUGGCACAAUCUCAGCUCGCUGCAACUUCCAUCGUCUCCCAGGUUCAAGCAAUUCUCCUGCCUCAGCCUCCCAAGUAGCUGGGAUUACAGGCGCUCGCCACCAAGCCCAGCUAAUUUUUUUUAUUUUUCUUUUUGGAGACAGAGUCUCGCUCUGUUGCCCAGGCUGGAGUGCAAUGGGGCAAUCUCGGCUCACUGCAACCUCCGCCUCCCGGGUUCAAGCAUCCUGCCUCAGUCUCCCUAGUAGCUGGGACUACAGGCAAAUGCUGCCAAGCCAGGCUAAAUUUUUUUGUAUUUUAAUAGAGAUGGGUUUCACCGUGUUGCCCAGGCUGGUCUCGAACUCCUGAGCUCAGACAAUCCACCCGCCUCGGCCUCCCAAAGUGCUAAGAUUACAGGCAUGAGCCACUGUGCCCGGCCUAAUUUUUGUAUUUUUACUAGAGACCGGGUUUUGCCAUGUUGGUCAGGCUGGUCUCACACUCCUGACAUCAGGUAAUCUGCCGACCUCAGCCUCCCAAAGUGCUGGGAUUACAGGCAUGAGCCACCUUGCCCAGCCUGAGCUCAUCAAAAUAUUAAAACUAGUGCAUUUUUAAUGGCAGUGUAGACCUAGCACAUGGCUGGCAGUGUAUAACUGCCAGGUGUUUCUCCUCUUUUCCUCACCCUUUCUCUCUCUUUUUUAUUGAGGUGAAAUUCACAUAACAUAAAUCAAAUCAUUUUAAAGUGAACAAUUAAAUGGCAUUUUAUACUUUCCCAGUGUUGUGCAAUCACAUCUCUAUCUAGUUCCUAAAUAUUUCCAUCCCCCCCAGAAGGAAACGCAUCCCCUUUAACCACUCUCCAUUUCCCUCUCCUCAGCCUUCACAAACAACAAUCGACUUCCUGUCUCCAUGCAUUUACCUGUUCUGGUUAUUUUAUAUAAAUGGAUUUAUAUAAUAUGUGUCUGGUUCCAUUCACUUAAUGUAAUAUUUUUGAGGUUUUUUCACCUUGUAUCACGUUUUGGUAAUUCAUUUCUUGUUAUAUCUGAACAAUAUUCUGUUGUAUGAAUAUACCACAGUUUGUUGUCUAUUUAUCUAUGGAUGAACAUUUGGGCUGUUUCACCUUUUGAUGUUUGUAAAUUGUAAGUAGUGCUGCCAUGAACACAUAUGUACAUGUAUUGGUUUGAGUGCCUGUUUUCAAUACUUUUGAGUAUAUAACUAGGAGUGAAAUUGGUAUUCACCCUUUUUUUUCUGUUACUUCUCUUAAUGAUCUCAUGUCUGCGUGAUCCUUAAUGAUGCCCCGUUUUAAAAUUCCUGACAUUGUUUGUCACUAGGUCAUUUGUCUCUAGUUUAACUGAUCAAUCUUGACAGCAAUUUUUCACUUUUAUUAGUAUUUUAAGGAAUCAGCCUGUGGUUUUGAGAAUCUUGUCUGCUUAUACAUUUGAAUUAGUUACAAUGAUUGCUUUCUCUUUGGAUUUGUUUCGCCACUCCUUUGGUAAUGUCCGGAGAGAGCUUCUUAACUGACACGAACGGGGCUCCAUUGGUAUGUCCUGGGAUCCCUCGUCAGGCCUGUGCACUCCCAGACCUCCAAGGGCCGGGACCUGCAUUUUUGUCCGAGGGCCGUCCCCAGGCUGCCUGAACUUACUUAGCCUAUGGGCAUAGUGGGCUGGAGGUGCCUGGGAACUAACAGCGCCAGAGGAAACCUUUAACUAAAGACCAAAGGCUGUCAGGGUGUAAAUACUCUUCUUGCCCUUCGGCUGAGAUAAUUCUGAAGCAUAUUUUACUUAGUUUUCUAGAGUUCUUCUUGGUAAUUAAUGCAAUCAAGCUCCAGUCUCCUGCUGUGAUGACUGCCUUCAUAACAUACCCUUUAUUAUUUAUCUGUCUUCCCUCCGUAUCUCACUUCCUACCUGUUCCUACUUGUCUAUUUCCCUGUGAGGGACUGAACUGUGAGCCCCUCAGAUUCAACGUACGAAGCCCCUAAAUUUAUUUGUUCGAGUCUGAAGCCAAAGUACCUAAGAAUGUGGCUUUAUUUGGAGAUACAGCUUUAAAGAGGUGAUGAAAUUAAAAUGAGAUCAUGAAGGUACACUCUAAUCCACUAUGACUGGUGUCCUUAUAAGAAGAGAUUAGGACACAACACACACAGAGGGAAUCCCAUGGGCAGACACAGGGAGAACACAGACAUCUGCAAGCCAAGGGCAGGAGCCUCAGAAGAAACCAAACCUGCUGACACCUUGAUCUCAGAUUUCAGCCUCCAGAAAUGUGAGAAAAUAAAUUUCUGUUGUUUAAGCCACCUAGCCUGUGAUACUUUGUUACGGCAGCCCAAGCUAAUUAAUUCACUCCCAAUUAAACUGUUCGCCCUUGAAUCCUUGGCUCAAGGUCUGCUUCUGGGGAACCCAAGCUAAGAUUCAAAGUUUAUUGAUUUUUUUCAGUGUUUCUUCUUUUCUAAAUAUGCAUUUGAAGCUAUAAAUUCCCUUCUAAGCAAGGCUAACACUCUGAUAUGUAGUAUUUGAUAGUGUAAUGAUAAGUAUUUGUAGUAUAAUGGUAAGCUUUGAUAUGUAGUAUUAUUAUUUAAUUUGAAGUAUUUUCCAUUGCAAUUUCUAUUUAACCUGUGGCUUAUUAUAACUCAGAAGGGUUUCACAUUGGCCUUAUAGAUGCUCCAGCCAUGUGUGUCACUUCUGCUCACAACUCAAAUGACCAGAACUAGCCACAGGGCUCCACCCAGCCACAGGGGAGCAGAAAGCACAACCUACCGUGUUGGUGUUGCAUAGAACAUCUUUCUACAUGUUUCCUCUUGCGUAGGUGCUAGAAUUGCUUUAGAAUAGGCUAUAAACCUGGGGGUGGAGUCACUAAGUCAUCUUAUUAAACCCAUCUUCCAUUUUAUUAGAAAUUGCCAAGCUGCUUUCCAAAGCGGUUGUGUGAGUACACAUAUUGCCCAUGCACAUUGUUCUGCACCUUCACAACCCUUCAUAUUAUCAGACUUUUAAAAUUUUUUGGCAAUUUUGGAGGCAUGAAACAGUAUCCUUUUGCAUUUUAAUUUUCAUUUCCCUGACUAAUAGGCAGGUCAGGUUUGUUUGUUUGUUGUUGUUGUUGUUUGAGACGGAGUCUUGCUCUGUCACCAGGCUGGAGUGCAUUGGCACGAUCACAGCUCACUGCAACCUCCACCUCCUGGUUUCAAGCAAUUCUCCUGCCUCAGCCUCCCAAGUAGCUGGGACUACCGGCACCUGCCACCACGCCCAGCUAAUUUUUGUAUUUUUAGUAGAGACGGGGUUUCACCAUGUUGGCCACGAUGGUCUCUUGACCUCAUGAUCCACCCA